rnacentral:rRNA from 1 species
UGGGGAAUUUUGGACAAUGGGCGAAAGCCUGAUCCAGCAAUGCCGCGUGUGUGAAGAAGGCCUUCGGGUUGUAAAGCACUUUUGUCCGGAAANAAAUCCUUGGCUCUAAUACAGUCGGGGGGAUGACGGUACCGGAAGAAUAAGCACCGGCUAACUACGUGCCAGCAGCCGCGGUAAUACGUAGGGUGCAAGCGUUAAUCGGAAUUACUGGGCGUAAAGCGUGCGCAGGCGGUUUGCUAAGACCGAUGUGAAAAUCCCCGGGCUCAACCUGGGAACUGCAUUGGUGACUGGCAGGCUAGAGUAUGGCAGAGGGGGGUAGAAUUCCACGUGUAGCAGUGAAAUGCGUAGAGAUGGUGGAGGAAUACCGAUGGCGAAGGCAGCCCCCUGGGCCAAUACUGACGCUCAUGCACGAAAGCGUGGGGAGCAAAACAGGGAUUAGAUACCCUGGUAGUCCACGCCCUAAAACGAUGUCAACUAGUUGUUGGGGGAUUUCAUUUCCUUAGUAACGUAGCU